GAUGAACGCUGGCGGCGUGCCUAACACAUGCAAGUCGAACGGAGUUAAGGGAAAUUUUCGGAUGGAACUUAACUUAGUGGCGGACGGGUGAGUAACGCGUGGAUAACCUGCCUCACACUGGGGGAUAGCAGCUGGAAACGGCUGGUAAUACCGCAUAAGACCACAGCACCGCAUGGUGCAGGGGUAAAAGAUUUAUCGGUGUGAGAUGGAUCCGCGUCUGAUUAGCCAGUUGGCGGGGUAACGGCCCACCAAAGCGACGAUCAGUAGCCGGCCUGAGAGGGUGAGCGGCGACAUUGGGACUGAGACACGGCCCAAACACCUACGGGAGGCAGCAGUAGGGAUUAUUGCACAAUGGGCGCAAGCCGGAUGCAGCAACGCCGCGUGAGUGGAGAGGUAUUUCGGUAUGUAAAGCUCUAUCGGCAGGGAAGAAAGGCCCGAAAGGGAGAUGACGGUACCUGACUAAGAAGCCCCGGCUAACUACGUGCCAGCCGCCGCAGUAAGAC
rnacentral:rRNA from 1 species